UCCCACAAGGCAUUGGUCCUUUCCCAUUGGGAAGUCAUGAAUAAGAGACUAUGAAGCUCGCACGUCAGAUCUUCCUCAAUUAAUCCACCAUUAGCAUGUUUGGGAUCCACUACUGGAGGGUUAACAGCAGCUUUUGUAACUGUAUGCCGACCAUACCCAGUUAUGCUCUGCUAAAAAUGAACUCUUUGCAGACCAACCCUCUCGGGCUGUCAGUGUUUUCCGUUUUCCUAUUUUAACGUUUGUGUAUAGUGGCAGGCGACAGAUGGUGUAGAUCAGAUCGAUUUGAUUGCAUUAGAUGAUUUUUCCCCCUUCUCCACUCCUUUCUGGAAGCUCGCAUCAGCUGAAGGCUAUCGCCUGGGACUCCUCGGAAGCGUGAGCAAGCCGCCACCACGCGAAGGCACUGGGGCACAGCCAGCGCGAGGCGCCAAGGUCCCUUCCCAGGGCUUGUUAACACUGUAACCCGGCACUCGGAGGGAAGCAGCUCCCGCUGCCCAAAGCCUACCUCACCGCACAUCAGAUGACUCCCUGGCUUCUACACACAGUUGGAGUUCCGCUUGAAACCUGGAUUUAGAGGGCUUCUCUCGCUGCCAUGACACUCCAUCAAAGCACCUAGAGUGGGCUGGCUGAGACCAGAGUGGGCACGAAGUAGAGCAAGUACAGAGGAAAACACUGGGAAAUCACCAGAAUUGGAAAUAGAGCAGCCAUUUGGAUUUGAACAAGAAGCAGCCGAGCUCGGCUUUGGAUUCUUCUUUAGGGAAAUCGAGUUAUGGAUUUAUGGUCCCGGUCAAGCUCAGCCCAGCCCCAGCCAGGGGCGGGCUCAGCAGCAAGAGUUCUGGUGGCAGCAGCGGCAGUAGCAGCGGCAGCAGCGGCAGCGGCAGCGGCAGCUUGGUCCUCUGACUCUCUUCGGUGACGGGUAUUCUUGGGUGGAUAAUACGGAUUACGUUGUUAUUGCUUAAGAAUACGCGUAGUCGAGGAGAGUACCAGCGGCAGGCGGGCAGCGGCCGCCCCUCCCAGCCCACCAGCUGGCCACUAAACGCUCGUGGUUGCCAAGGUGAUGAAUAUUGAAAGUUAAUUGUGGGUACCGUAUUCAUUGAAAGAACACUGGUCCUCAAUUUGAUUUUGCAUGUCUCAUGGAGCACAAGGUUGGCUUCUUUCCAUGCUGUCUCACUACCCUCUGAAGAACUGAUUUGCCUAUGACAGAUCUAUUAAGUAUCAAAUUCUGUUUCAUGAAGACAAUGAAAGGAUUCGUUUGGGUGGAUCUGAUUGUUGAGGUAAAUAUAGUAUGUGAAAAUUAAUCUUAAAACUAAAUUCAAAAUUCAAGUUUCCCCAACCUACACUUACUCUCUAGCUAAAAGUUUUUUAACUUUGGGCGUACUUCAAAUUGUCUGGGGAACGUUUAAAAAUACCAUUUACUGAAUCCCACCCAGGGCAAUUAAAUCAGUCUCUGUAGGUGGAGGAUUAGUGUUUCUCAGAAUCUUCCCAGUGGUUCCAGUGAGCAUCCAGGGCUGAGAACCACCACUCUGGGGUGUGAGAAUUCAGAGGUGGUGAGAUGGUGACUAAAUGCUACUUCAUUCAUUUCUUCAUUCACUAUGAUAAUGGGUAUAUAAAGAUCAUAAAGUAUUUUGAGAAGGUCUAAAGUAGACAGGAAAGUAACACAAAGCUCUCUUUCUACAGAAACGGAGUCUAGUUCAGGGAGAAAAUACAGGGAAAUGUCAUCUUAAAAAAUACUGAAAUUUAAAAAAAUAAAAUUUCCUAAAUAAAAUAAAACUGCCUAAAUUGUGGAGGUUAUUGAUAGUUAUUGAUAGUUAAUUAUAUAGAUAAUUGAGAAUUCUUGCAGAAAUCAUUGGAGAUUUUUGAACAUGAUCUGUUAUGUUUUGCAAAAAAAAGGGGGAUACAGAGAAUCAAGUUAUAUAAUUGUUUUGAUAUUUUUAGAUCGAAGUUAAAUGAGAGAUUACUGACAAAAAAUGAUAAUCCAGAGGCAGUAGAUGUUGAGAAUACCACUGAAGCAAAAUCCAGAGGAUUUUAAGUUCAAGACCAGUGGUGAGGAUUGAGAUCUCCAUCUGAUACCCAAGCCUGGCUUUCUGGGAUUAUGAACUCUUUAGACCCAAACCCCACUAUUUAAUGGACCAGAUAUGUGUUUUAAGCUGAACUAAUCCAGACACUCAUCAUGUAAUAGUGGCUGCUGGAAUCACCCCAGAAGUUAAAGGUGCAGGUAUGAGAUUGGGUGCACUGUGAUUUCAAAACACUUUUUAUUGCUUUGAUUUUUUUUCUUUUAAAUGUUAAGUGUUUUAUGAUUUUUAACUCCUUGGCUGUAUUAAAAGAACAUAUUUGUUUUGUUGUAAAAAAAGUGUCUUUUAUUAAAAAAAAUGGAAACAUAGCUUCUUUUCCUUUAUUCUCUAGUAUAUUCUAAAUUUUAAAUUACUGCUAAAUUAAAUGGUUUGUGUCAGAUGUUAACAAUAUGGGGUCUUAGAUUAAAACAAGCUCCAUGUAAUCUUAUUGAGCCAGUAGGUCAUAGAAAUAGGAGAAAAUGUGUUUGAAUCACAGGAGAGAAGGGAUGUUGGAUGGAUCUGUAAAACACUUUCUGUUGUAGUAUCAGCUGAUUGAUAGCAGUGAUUCUCAGAAGGGUUCCAACAUUAUGCCUUUUAAAAGCUGGAGAUUAGUGCAACCAUGGUGAACAGCACAGUGACAUUCUGGCAAAGAAAAAGGGUCAGGGCUGGCAAAAUGUGGCAGGUGUCAAAAUAAAAGGUUAGGCUCUGUGCCUGGGGACCCAUCUGUCAGAUAGAAGUAUGAUAAGGCAAUUAAUGUAUUUAUUUAUGUUGCUCAUGACAAACCGUGUAUUCCAUAAAAAUGAUCAAUUUAAACAUUCUUAACUGUUCUUUUGAAAUUAGAAUUAAUAUAAAAAUAAAAUGCUCAAGAUAAAACGCCAGAUCUAAUAAUAAAAUUGGUUGUUUGUAUAAUCAAAUAGAGUUAACUUUGGAAAAUUAUAGUAGUUUGCAUGGAAGAAUUAAAACAAUGAAAUAAAACAUCUUGACAAAAUGGAGUUUGAAUUAAGACAUACAUACAAAAUUGAUGUUUAUGUUGCAAGAUAAUUUUGGCUGCACUCCUCAUUAAUUCAACAUGCUUUAUAUUUAUUAAACUAGAUUUCAUAAUUUAAUAAUAAAAUCAAGGCAAAAAUUAUGAGAAAAUAAAUUUAGACACUCAGGAUCUAUGUUCCACCUUUUCUUUAAAUGUUUUGUUCACAAACUUGUCAUCAUUAGAGCUCUCAUUUUCACUUUGUGACUGAUCCUGACUCUUCUUUAACAUAUUUAUGAUUUAUUUAGCUUUUUUUUUUUACUACUUCUGCUUUACAAUCUGUUUAAACUAGAAUGUUUGGAUUUAAUAUUCAUUAGUGAUCUAAUUUUUUCAAAUAAAAUAAACUCUUAUACGCUUCAAAAUGUCAUGUUAAUAAAAAUUUAAUACAGGUUAAUAAAAAUUUAACCCUGAAUUGUGAAAUAAAUGUGGUUUACUGCAGUCCAAAGUCUUAUGCAACAACAGAUCCUGCCCAUACUGUACACUGAAUAAACACAAAAGCUCUUAAUUGCUAUGAUUCAGUAAGUGAAGCGUACAUCUUAUACCAACACCGACAUUUGAAGAGGAAUAACUUGAACAUCAACCGUACACUGUACUAAACAGAGGAAAAGUCAAGUUUUUUAAUUGUAGGAUGAAAGCCAGCGUGACUAUGUUAUCACCAAGUUGCAUGUUCUGGCUGCACAGUGAUGAAAUUUAACAAAUGAAGUCAUUGCAGGAAAGGGGUUCGUCUGGCUUUGGAAGGAGAAGAGGUCUUAUGUUCAGUAGAUUCAUUUUCUUUAUGUUGAGGUAGCAUUUGUGCCAUCAUCACCACUUCCCAUUUGUUAAAAGGACUUUAGUUAAACUUUGAGUCAACGGCUUUUCUCCCCAGGGUUCCCUUCCAGUCUGAAACAUAUUAGUCUUAACUUACCUUCCAUUAGUCACAUGAAGCUUUCCCGGGGACAACGUUAGAGGGGGAGUCAAUGAAGGGAAAGUCAUUGAAAACACACAAAGCACAAACUUUGUUACAUGUUCUAAUUAGUAGUUUGAUACAUGAUUUACAAUCUGUACCCGAGGUUUAAUUAGAAUUAAGCACUAUUUAAAAUUAAAUUCACUCUUUCCUUCAUUUCCUGAUUCAAAGUUGCAUAUUGUUCCUAUUGCUGGUUUAAUUUCAUUUGAACUUCAAUCUUCUAAAUUAGCUCUGUUUCCUCCCUGUUUAUUUUCAUUUGUCUGGAUGUACUUGAAAAUUCAUGAGGCAAAAUUUAAAAUUUCCUUACUCACUGUUCUGUAUGACUCUUUAAAAACAUAGGACAUGCUAGAUAAUAAAAGUAAUGAUUUCAACAGAAAAUCAAGGUGCCACUCAUUUUGCCAUGGAGCCGUAAAAAUGACACAUCAAACAAAAGGUAAGAUUUUUUUUUAACUUCUUGACAUGGAGAAUUACCCAUUAAAAAUUAGUUAUUUCAUAGCAUAUAUUGUAUCUUUAUUUGGGAAGAAAACAUGCAAUAGGAUUCAGUUUAUAAAAAGUAGCAUCAAUUUAAAUUCUAAUUUAAUUUUUUCCAGAAGCAUAUGAGAAAAUUUUUGCUGGGCAUCCACUCACUUCAGUUCAGCCAUUUGAAGAAAUUUUGAAAAUUCUGAUGCAUUUUAAAACUCUUCUUUUGCUCUGGCAUUGUUCAAAUUUGCCUUGAUCUAUCAUCACAGGUAUGCUAUCAUGUCUCCCUUAACCAAUUAAAUUCACACAAAAUACUUUAUUUUCAGGCUUUACAUAUAUAAGAUUACUUUGGAAAAGUAAUCUCUCAUUCGUCAUUUUUUUUUUGCAAACCAUAAUAAUAGUAAACGACGUGAAUAACUUAAUCAUUUUAACAAAUGAUAAAAAUCAUUUGUAAGAUAUGUUGUAUAAAGGAUACAGGUGCAAUUUUAUUUCUUCUUGUGGAAAAAUGCAGUUACUUUCAAAAGUUCUAUUGUUUUCAAAUGGUUGGAAUGUGCUUCCACCAAUCAUCAAAUGAUAUUUUUCAUCAGCAUCAAAUAAUUUUGAAUUUCCUUCAUUCUCGAGGCAUCAUCCUGUCAAGCACUUUGUAUUUGUUUCUUCUAUAGUGUACCAAGUUUUUAUGUUUUGAAUUGAUCAACCACUCAUACAAUACAAGGUAAGUACUAUAUUAUUACCAUUUCCAGAUGAGGAUGGUUGGCACAGAGAGGGUAAAUAAUUCUUAAAAUGUGAACCUCUCUCAUUUUUGUAACAGAAUUUCUUUGUUCACAUUGCUCAAGCCAGAAUGCGGAAGAACCACGUUGAAAGUAUGAAAAGUGUUCUGAAAGGUAAGAAAAAUAAAUAAAUAAGAGCAAAAAGCAAACAGUCUGAAAUCACAAAGAAAUUUGUCAAGGGCCUAGCAUGAGGGUUUUAAGAUGAAUGUGGCAAUGAAACACAAAUAAGAAGCAUGACUAGGAAACCAUGCAGAAGCUCAAGGUAGAAAGGAAAGGAAAAAUGAUGGAGACGUGUUGAAAUAAGCAUAAAAGGCUUUUUGGAUCCUUAGCAUGAAAACUUGCACAAUUUUGAGAUAAUAUUUCCUGUAUUAAUUUUUGAUACAGAAUACAGAAGCACUUAUGUUUUUAGAAGUAAAAAUGUUACAGCCGGGCAUGGUGGCACACACCUGAAAUCCCAGCAGCUGGGGAGGAUUGCAAGUUCAAAGACAGCCUUAGCAAUGGGAGGCGCUAAGCAACUCAGUGAGACCCUAUCUCUAAAUAAAAUACAAAAUAGGGCUGGGAUGUGGCUCAGUGGUUGAGUGCCUCUGAGUUCAUUCCCUGGUACCAAAAAAAAAAAAAAAAAAGAUGUUACUGGCAUUCGUGAUUUUUGUGAUUUGUCAAGUGAAUAGCUCAGUAUAUCAGGAGGGCAUUGUUGAAUGAUGGUUAGGGGGUGGACUUGUAGACAGCUAGGAGUUCCACUCCUGGCUCUCCUCCUCCUGUUAUGUUGGCAAGGGCGUGUCAGAGCACCUUCCACUGAAUUACAGUAGCUGACUACUGCAUCUAUUUCCAAAACCACAUUCAGUUAUGUCACACUGAUAGAUUGAAAUCAGAAAAGAUGACAUUAUUUAUACCAUCACAAUUGGCAAAACCUAAAUCAGACAAAUCAGGGCUAUAUUCCUCAUGUGCUAGCUCACCAGCCCACCGCUGGACCCUGGGCAAAUUGUCUAGCCUUUAUGAGCUUUAGUUAUUUUCAUCUGAAAAGAAAAAUAGAUACAAUAGAUCGGUAUAAGAUUCUGCAGACCUUUCAAUCGAUGACAUAUUUCACGAUUCCUGCUACAUAGUAAAUAUCAAUAAUGGUACCACUCUAGUAAUUUAAUUUAGCCUAUUAUACAGAGCAUCAAACAAUUUUGCAUUUUGAACACACUAGAAAGCAUUUCAAUUAGUUCAUUGAAAUUCUAGGAGAGUAGGAUUUGUAAAAUUAUUUUACUAACUUUACAAAUGAAAUGGUUUCUCCUAAAUAUUAUUAGCAUUUUUAAAAGAAGAUAAACACUUACUAAUAUUUACAUAGUGAAUUUCUUCUGUAUUAUUGGGUUAGAAAAACUUUUCAGUUUCCUACAGUGACUCACAUAUAUAUAGAAGCUUAAAGGCACCUCUUGGAGGGUUUUAACCCACUCCCCAAAUUACAUUAAGUCCAUGGCUUCAGUUCUUCAAAACUUCUUGAUAAGUUAAUAUGAGGUCUGAUGCUGGCUAUAUGCCCUGCUGUUCAGAAAGCUCUAAUAGAAUAUUCUAAGCCAGAGGCCACUGUGUCUAUCAUGAUGACAGGCAGUAUGUAUAACUUGAAACUUUAAAGGUAGGCACUGCAGGAAAUAAGGAAUUUAAGCAAAGAUUAAACAGUCUAUAAAUCACCCUGCUUAGUUGCCUAGUUAAAAACUCUUUCAUCUAGGUAGUCUUCAAUAUGGAUUAUUUGUUCUUAAGAUCCUUGUUCAUUUCUGGUUUUGGAAUAUAAUUUUUUUACAAUAUUUAAAAAUAAGUUGUACAUACACUUUUUCCACUACCAUUUACAAAAGGCGAAGAUCAUUUUAUUGUCAAAAAUAUUUUAAAGUCUAUUUAAAUAAUUUGGGGAUAUUGAAAGAAAUUACUGAAGUUAAAUUAAAUUCUAAAUCAUUUUUUUACUUCAAAAACUAUGAUAGAUUGUUGCAAAGAUAAAAACAACUCUUCCUUUCCUUGUAUGCAAACACCUUUGCAACAUGACUUUGCUGUUCCUUUCAUCAAGAACUAAAGUUUAUUUCACUUCCCCUUCAGUCUGAAAUUUGCCAAUCAACUUGCAUUGCCCAGUAUGACAUUAGCAAACCUGAUGAAAACACUGGUUUGACAAACACAAGCACAGUAGAACUUGCUGUCUUUGUUGCCCUGGGGUCACUGUGUGAAGAAACAUGAGCUAGUUACAGAGAGAGAAUGUUGGAUGGAGAUGAGUCAGGUUGGUUGUGGCACCCUGGACCAAACACCAGAUGCAUGUCUGAAGUCAUUCUGGACCAUUCAGCCUUAGAUGACCUGUGGGCUGACUGGAUAACCAAUUUAUCACCCACAUUCCCAGGAGAAAAAAAAUGCAAUAAUUGUUUUAAACCAGGGGUCAGCAGUGUCCAAGGGCCAAAUCCAGACUAUGGGAUGUUUAUGGAAAUAAAAUUUUAUUGGAACACAGCCACAUUCAUUAUUUAAUGUAUUGUCUAAGGCAACUUUCAACUGCAGUGGCAGAGUUGAAUAGUUGCAACAGAGACCCUGUUUGAGAAGACUAAAAUAGGUACUGUUUUCCUCUUUACAGUAAAAGUUUUGCUAACUCUUGCAUUAGGCCUCUAAGAUUUGGGAUGAUUUAUUAAGCAGCAAUAAAUAAAUUGCACAAGCUUGUUUACCAAAGGGGAAUAUGUCUCAUUUCUUAUUAAACCAAAAAAAUUACUAUGCUCAUGAAAAAAUAUGAAGUUUUUUCAGAGUCAAUAAUCUUUCCCAUGACAAAAGCAUUACUAUUCAAUUUGCAUUUAUAAAGUACAGUUAUGUAGACUGCUGAUCCUACACCAAUUUAUCCAUCCUUCCUUUUUCUAUAGUAAUACAACUGGUGCUGGGUAUGUAACCCUCCUUUCAGGAAGUGAUUUCUGAACUGCUGUGUUACAUCUGUGUGACCAUAAGGCUAUGUUUUCACUUCUGAAAUAUUAAGGGAAGUAAUGUGUGCAUUCAUUGGUCUUUCUCCAUGUUCUCCUUCCUCCCCAUUAACUGAAUCCUAUGGCAACCUGACUUUCCAUUCAGAUAAGUGGAAAUUCCCAUAGAAAGAAGGAGUACAUGAAACUCAUCUAAGUAACUUACUGGAACCUUGUAACUUAAAAACAAUAGGAAAGGCUGGAGUUGUAGCUCAGUGGUAGAGCAUUUGUUCAGCAUGUGUGAGGCACUGGGUUCGAUCCUCAAUACCACGUAAAAAUAAAGAAAUAAAAUAAAGCUAUUGUGUUCAUCUACAACUAAAAAUACAUUAAAAACAAAACCAAAUAAACAAACAAAAAAAGAAAAAAACAAAAGGAAGCAAAGACUCCCCCAAACUUGGAAUAUCCAUCUUGGACUAUUAAUAUGAAAAAGAAAACAGGGGCAUAGAUUUAUCACUGGGUAUCUUUGUACAGUAGGUAGUCUUUUAUUUGCUCAAGAUUGGACUCUAAUACUUGAGAUGAUUAACUCUCUGGUAACUGAGAAAUCUAAACAUGAGGUUUUUUUCCUUCAAGAGUACUCCACUAUUAAUGUUACCCCCCAAAAUUUAAUAACAUAGAAAAAUAGUCAUUAGUUAGGAUACCCUAUCUAAUGCAAUGAUUUUAUGCAAUAUGUCUUGGCACAAAAAUUAUUUAGUUGGUAAAACAUUGGAUGUGGGGUCAAAACUCUAAAGUACUUUGAUAAACUUUGUCCCAAUUUUGCUGAGUUGGCCAGAGGCUAGUCACUUACAGUUACUGUGAUUAUCUUUUCCUAGAUAAAAAUAUAUAACUCCUGAUAGGCAAAGAAGGAAGUUUGAACACUGACCUUUCUAAUUCCUACUUCUCCCAAGUAAGAGGGUUGCAAUAACUGGUGCUUGCCCUAGGCAUGUGUCAUUUUAGUCCCAAGAAACGCUUAUAUACCAACAUAGUGCCUUAGGUAAUGUAAUGGGGGAAAUAAUCAAGGUAAAUCUUUGGCAUUUGGACAGUAGGGAUAGUUUUCCCUCGAAAAGACACAUAUCACCUCCCUCUUAAGGUAAUUAGGAAAAUAUUAGGAAAGCGAGUUUUAUUUAUAUUCUGGAUACCUACUCAAUGAUGGCAGCCUAUUUAAGUGCCAAUAGAAGGAAUCUGUUAAGCAUUCAAAUUUGAGUACUCUCCCCACUCACCCUGAGGUUUUGAGGGACUAGGGUAGAUCCCUAUAACCUCAUAGAUAAUAUCACCAUAGCCGAUUUUAAGACAGUGAUCUUUCUUUGGGAAAUCACAGCAACAGCAGAAAUCAAAUUCAGGUACAAAAGUCUCAGUUCCAGGAAAUGUAGACAUCUAGGUAAGGAAAAUAAAUCUGGGAACAAAAGACUUACAGUUUCCAAAUGGAAAUCUUUUAGGUUUUAAAAUAGUAUUUUAUGACCAAUUUGUUGAUGAAUAAGGAAUUAUUCCUAAACAAAACUAUAAAAAUAAAGUUGGCUUGCUUUACCUGUGAGCGUCCUGCUCAGCCUUUAGUGACUAGUUUAAAAGUAACUCCUUUGGAAGUGAUACUAGGUGUCCCUGUUCUGUACUCUUCCUCCAUAAUUUCUGCAUCAGAGCAAGCAGCACGGUGAGUUUAGUUAUCUAAUUGCCUGUCUUCCCUGCUGCAAUAAAUGCUCCGUAAGGAAAGAAAUUGUCUCUUUCUUGCUCACCAAAAUAUUCCCAGAGCUUAUUAGGAUGCCAGGAAUACACCAGAUGCUUAAGAAAUAUUUGUCGAAGAAAUGAAACUCUGAAAGGAAAAUAGCCAGUUGAUUUUCCCAACAUAGGGAAUGGGCAUGAACAGUAAUGAGACCAGGUGAAACUGCCUGCAGGAUGUUCUUCCAUCAAGCAGUUAACGGUGUAAGCAGCACAGACCCAGAGGUGCAUUCUGAAGAUGGGCCAUGUCCCCUUACAUUAUGUUAAUUUGGAGGAAAGAUGAGAAAAAUGGUAGAUUUUAGUGCAGGGCCAAGGACUAGAGAUAAAAGCCCUUAUUCAGACUGAUUCCCUUGCAAAGACAUACAUAGCUUUGGGGAAGGGAUUUGAACCACUUUGAUUUUCUGUUCUGGAAUAUAAUUGCUGUGGUUAUUUUUCUAUGUUAUUAAAUAUUCUUUUAGGUAACAUUAAGAAUAGAGUACUCGUGGGGAACAGAGCUGGUGUUUAGAUUUUCCAAUUACCAGGGAAGUAAUCUUCCCAGGUAUUAGAGUCCAAACUUCAGCAAAUAAAAUCACAGUUGAAUUAAAAUAGAAUCCAGAGCUCCAUGAUUAUGUUUGAAAUGCAUGUAAAAUAUGUUAUUUGCCUGCUUUCAAAUGUGGGCUUGGGGGUUUUGUAUAUUUCAAAAGUGAGAGAGGAUAUAAAAAAAGUCAAAGACUUUAGAGGAGAAACUAAAAAGAUCUUAUGAAACAGUUUCCAAGGUAGGCUACAAAAGGUCAGUCAGUCCUAGCCAGCAUCCAGACAGCUGCAUGAAGUGGGGAAAGCAACUUACUCUCUCUUUACCUGGAUCUCAUUAGUAAAAUUAGGAUGAAAUAAUUUAUAAGGUUGCUAUUAGCUUUAAAACUUUUAUGAGUUCAGAGCCUUUAAAAAGAUUGUGUCUUCAGCAGAAAACACCACUGUGAAUUUUUUUUUCAAUAUUCCUUUUAUCUAUAAUGGAAGCAAGUUAAAAAUAAUAGGCCUAAUGUUCACAGAUCCAUUAAAUAUUUACUGGUCACUCUCUUGAUGACCAUUUUGAUUCAAUACAUAGUAUAUAUAAAUCAUCAAUAUUUUCAAAUUCAAAAAUGCACAGGAAGGAAUUUUAUAGCUUCUGUGAUAGCUUUGAAGUAAACUGUGAUUUACCUCCUUGUUUGUGUAAGUGUUUUUGUGCUUAUCAUUUAUCAGUAAGCCCAGGACUCUAAGUACAAUAUUAUAUAUGCAUGCUAAGUACUUAGUUUAUCAUUAUAAUUUUCCUCUUGAAUUGCAAAUUGUGUAAUGUACAUCAUUUAACUUUUCUAGGAUUCCCCUGUUUAUUUUUAGGAUGUUAAUGUCCAGAAACAAUUGAGAAAAAAAAGUACUUCUUCAUCCAUGUGGUAUGCUAAUACUGAAAAUAAAAUAAGUGCUGUUCCCCUUGAGGGAAAUGUAAUUAAAGAUAAAGGGGAAAGAUAUAGAGAAUAAUGAUAUUUGUUUAUACAUAAGUAAUGUGAUAAUACUGUUUUAUAAUUCUGUGCAUUUUUCUUAUUUUACUGAAUUCUAUGUUCCCUCUACUACUUUCUCUUUUUUUUCAUAAAAUGUCAUCAUUUAUUUGUUUAUUUACUCACAUAUUGCCAUCUUCAUUAUUUGUAGUUUAUCCAAAUAUUCCUUGAAUGGUUCUCUGUACAUGUUUCACAGUAAAAAGUUGCUGACUGAUUAUCCCUUUCAAUGCUGCUCCCAACACCUGCUUCCCAAUGAGAAGAUCCCUUCUGUAACUUACACACAAGAAGCAUUUCCACCUCCUCUUCUUGUGCAGAGGAUGUAUGAUGCAGUUGUGUUCACCGAGAUGUGAGACAACAUCUUCUUGGAGCAUUUGUCCAUACUCUGCAGACCAAAGGAAGAGCUGCCUUUUCAUCCAACUUUUGAGCAACCUCUGUGAAGCUACCUGAAGCUACCAUAGCCAUCUUCCAAGGCUGGGAAAGUAACUGACACACUGAGGAGAACAGAAAAAGAAGAUGGAAAAACCUGGGAUUUUGGUGAAAUUUCAUGAGCUUAUGAAUUAACCAAUUCCUUACAAUCUUGACUCUAUAGAAGAAUUCUUGGCAUGUGACAUAGUACAUUUCCUUUAUUGUUUAAGCCACCUUUAUUUUGUCUUUUGUUUCUUCUAGUUGAAACCAGUACACUCAUCAUUAUGCUAUGCAUACAUAUUAACACUAUCUUCUUGUGGAUCCUGCUUAGCCUAAAUGUUAGAUAAGAAUAAACUAACAAAGCAACCCUUUUCCAUCUGAAAUAGAAGGUCACAGAUCUCAGCACUACCCCAGUCACGUAAUAAUAAUAAUGGCUACAGUUUACAAUUAGUAAGUACUUACAAUGUAUGAAAAGAACAUUAUGUUGUGGACUUUAUAUAUUUUGUUUAAUCUACACUAAAUAUCUCGAAACUGGAGUUAUAUUAACACUUUUUAAAAUGGAAAAAAUGUGGCAGAGAGAUAAUAAGCAAACCUGUGGAGGUCCCACAAUUAAUUAGUGGGUACAUUCAAUGUCUCUUUAGAACCAGCUAGCAAUCAUGAUAUUAUUGUUUAAUUCAAGUGUAUAUUUGAGAUAUAGGUUAUAUGUGGACCUUUAUUUAGCUGCAUAUAGGAUUAAAGUGAACAGAGCAACAUAUCAUAUUCAUGCUCCCUAAGAUUUCCAUUCAUACUGUAGCUCUGUGUACUGACUAUAAUAGUAGUUUGUAUGAUGGAGUGGGAUAUACAAGUAUACAUAUAUGUAUAUGUAUGUGGGAUACAAAUAUGUGUAGGACAUAUAUAUAUAUAUAUAUAUAUAUAUAUGUAAAUACAUACCUAUAUAUGUAGGACAUAUAUAUAUCAUUAUAUAUAUAUUUAUAUAUGUAUCAUUUAUAUAUAUGUAUAUCAUUCCUCUGCACUGAGAAAAUUUUACCACUAGUACUUUCAUAAUACCAUCAAAAACACUAAACAAAAUUAAACAAAACAUGCUAUAUAUAGAGAGAUAGAUAGAUCUAUAUCUAUAUCUAUAUAUAGAGAGAGAGAAGAAAAAUGGAAAAACAGACAAUUAAGUUGAAUCAAAAUUUGUCAUUUUCAAAAUUAUUAUUGUUUAGACUGAGAAUCUAAAGAUGGAAUGGUUAAGUAUGAUCUCUAGACCAAAUAUAGAGGUCUAUAGUAAAUAAAAUGUAAUGAAAUUGUUUAAACUUACUUUUCCUAAACAAUUUUAUCAGGAACCCAUGAUGCUUUCCUUCUCCAAUUAGUGGAUAUGUUCUUUAAAACUGGUUCUAAAAUUUCACAUAUUGUUUGUUAUAUAAUUUUGAUGCAUAAAAUAAUACAUGUAAUUUUCAUAAGAAUAAUGAAACAUGAAAAGAAACCAGCCAGAAAGUAGAAAAUUACCAAUACCACUGAGGCUGUGUCGAUGCCCUUCCAAAAAUCUCAUCCUCCCGCUGUUCCCAAAAGGCAACCAGUAUUCUGAAUGUUGGAUUUAUUUGUUCUUUAAAAUAGUUUUUCUCAUAAAUGUAUCUAUCUCACCCAGGUGUGAUCGCACAUGCCAAGUGAUUCAGGAGGCUGAGGCAGGAGGAUCACAAAUCCAAAUAGCCUCAGCAACUUAAUGAGACCCUACUCUCAAAAUUGAAAAUAAGGAAAAGAAGAGCUAUGGAUAUACCUCAGUGUUAGACUAUCCCUGAGUACAAUCUCUAGUACUCAAAAAAAAAAUAAUAAAAAUGAAAACAAAUGUAUCUGUUGCUGGAUUUUGAACUUCAUAAUAUUGCAUCAUAGUCUGUAAUCUGAAACGUGUAUUUGUCAGUCAAGCCAGUGUUUCUUAUAUUCAUCAUGUUACACAUAAUUGUAAUGUGUUCAUUUUCAUGGCUACAUAAUGUUCCUCAGAGUAGCUAUACAACAACCUUUUUUUCAGUCAUCUAUUAAAAGAUGUUUUGGUUUCUUUCUAAGUAUUUAAAAAUUGCUACCAGAAAAAUACAUUAGACAUAUUUAACAUAUUUCUAGUAGAAAUUAUGCUUGUUUCCAAAUCUUUCUCUGAUUCAUAUAUAAAAACAUUGAAAAAAGGUUAAUGAAAGUCUAUCACUAUGAUUGGGGACUGGUCUCUUGGGUGUUGCUCUUUCAGUCAACUUGUGGUUUGUAUUUUGAAGAUGUUUUAUUAGUUGCAAAUAACUUAAGAAUAAGUAAGAAUUAUUAAGGCUUUCUGGUAAGUUGUUUUGUAUAAUUAUGUUUGCCCAUCUUAUUACAUAUAUUUUUUAUCAGUCUACUCUAUUAAUAGGAGUGCACACAUUUUAAAAUAUUAGAUAUUUUAGUAGUUUCCAUACUUCUUUCAAUGUUCCAUGCCCUUAGGUUUUAGUUGCAGCCAUUUAGAACAGCCAGUCUUCAAUCUCUUAUUUGCUGGUCUUGUACUCUGUCUUGCAUGAGCCUCCCUAGAAAACAAAUAUGUAGGUGAAUUCAGUGCUCUAUCUUCUUGGAAUAUAAUCUCAGAGAACCAAAAGUCAUGGAAAAACAGCUGAUUAUUAUGUUCCUGAGCUUUCCACUGAUUUGCACCAUGGAUGGCUUGAUGGUUUCAGGAAGUCUUCAGAGAGGAUCAGUGAAACUAUGGUGAUUAAGAAUAGUCAAAAUGAAGGAAAGGUCAGCCAUGUACUUGCUGGUCAUUUCUGUUUCCUGUCUUUUAGUAGCUUAGUCAGCCUUUCAUUGCUGUGAACAAACCACCUGACAAGAUCAACUUAGAGGAGGAAAAGUUUAUUUUGGCUUUCAGUUUGCAGUCAGCUGACCCCAUUGCUCUGGGCCCAAGGUGAGGCAAAAGAAAAGGUGUGGCAGAGGAAGGCAGCCAGGACAUGACAACCAGAAAACAGAAACCCCAAAGGAAUGGCCCCUGGCUGACCUCCUCCAGUAUCACCUAGUGAUCAUACAGUGAUUAUGUUAAGGCUCUCCUAAUCUAAUCAUUCACUUCUGGGCUUUCUUGCAUGAGCUUUGGGGGAAACACUCCUUAUUUAUACCAUAUCAGGGAUCAUAGACUAUCCAUGAAGUAUCAGAAUCUUUGGUUUGAUGGGUUUGCUGGCCACCCCAGGUGUAUGCCAGGCAGGCCAGAGCCCCUGUGUGUUCCAUCUUAAUGUCAGUAGGUGCAGCGUGGAGGUUUUGAAGUUUGUGGUGAUGGAGAUGGCAGUACCAGGGCAACGUCCAAGGCUUCAUAACUGUGGAAGGCUGAAGUCUUUGCUAGAGAUUUUCUUCUCCACACUCCUCCAUCACCAAAGAGGCAAAGGGCUAAUACCUGACAUUGUAGAUGGUUGUGAGUAGAACUCAGGUCAUCUGAGCCCAGCAAUCCAUCCUAGAUCCAUGACAGAUCUGCUUGCCCUCCACCUCAUUUUACUACAAGCACCUUCACUUUUCUCUGAGAGUUGGAGUGUGAGUCCACUCUUUUUCAGGAGGUCACCAGUGGCAGCAAAGCAAAAAACUUCAAAAUGUCUGCAAAACAUAGUCAUAGUCCUUACUGCUGAAGCUGGUCUAGGGCUCUAAUUAAAAGAUUUGAGUAGACAUAGAGACAGUAGAAUGAAUUGGACAUAACGUACUUAUGUUCAUGUAUGACUACAUGACCAGUGUAACGCCACAUCAUCUACAACCAUAAGAAUGGGAAGUGACACUCCACUUCUGUAUGAUAUGUCAAAAUACAGUCUACUGUUAUAUAUAACUAAAAAGCAAAUAAACACUUUUUAAAAAAAGAAGUAGAGAGAAAGAAGAAGAAAGGAGAAGGAGAGACAGAAAUUCAGAGCAAGGAAAAGAUGGCAUUGUAUUAGGAGCUAGGUUUGAAUAAAGAUUCAGAAAUCAUACCAUCUCUAGGUUUUUCUUAUUUCCAUCCCCCUCCCACUAACCAGAUGUCAGACAUUUUCCUCCUACUAUGGGAUUGAUUUUUUGAACAUUUACCCUUUGUGAACACUUUUUAGAAUAAAAAAUAAUAUAUUUUUUAACCUCUCCCAAAUACACUGAGAAUGAAUUUGUGAUAUAGUUUUUAAAAUUGAUUCUUACUUAUGGGAGGCAAAUCAUACAGCAAUUAGAUAAUGAAGUUUCUCACAGUUCUAUGUGAAAUUCCAUGGGGCUAUAAGUUAGGCUACUUUACAAAUGUAAAAAGUAAAGAGAAAGCCAGAAAGUUGAUGUUCAAAACUCUGUAUAAAGUGUAUAUUUAAUAGAAAAAAUACUUUGAUCUGUUAAUCAAGAAAUAUUUUCUAGGUACAACUUGAUAGGAUGGAAGUCGAUAUUCAAAGAAGAAAAGGCAGGUAAAUGAAACUUAAAACAAGUGAAAGGGAUUUGGGAUUGCAUUGUAUUUUAAGAUACACACAUACAUGUGGAAAUUCUGAAACUUUGGGAAGGAACAGAGAAAAUAUGGAAACAGGGGAAAGGGACAAAAGAAACAAAGCCAGUAGAGAAUUUUGUGAAGAGUACUGCUGGCACUCUCCUGAUGAACAUCCUCACUACCAUAAGGUCAAGGCAUGGUAGAGAGGAACAUCAGCUACCUGAACUUUCUCCCAGAGCCCAGUUAUCUGAAAACACGCUAAUUAUACUAAUAAUAGAUCUGUGCCCCGAAGGAUAUCAGGAAAGCAAUAAGAAUUGGUAUGUCUAAAAUUAAUUUUAAGCAUAAUUGGUAGGUAAUAUAAAAGUGCUAGUACAAUUUGAAAAAUAGUGGCCAUGUAAUCGAUAUGGUUCUUCUCUGCUGUUUUCUGCCCAGUUCCUUCGUGCCUUGGGGUUUGCUUCCAUGCUUAAGGAGGGGCUCUGAGUGCAGUUUCUAGGCAGGUGUUUGGAUGAUAAGCCUUGUCACAGGGGUGGAAGGAAGUCAUUCAGAGUGUGGAAUAUAAAGUAAAAAAAUAGUAAAAAGUGAGGACCUGGGGCUGGGGCUGGGGCUCAGGGCUAGGGCACUCGCUUAGCAUGUGCGAGGCCCUGGUUUCCAACAUCAGCACCACAUAAAAAUAAAUAAAUAAAAUAAAGGUAUUGGCCAACUACAACUAAAAAAAUAAAUAUUAAAAAAAAUCAGGACCCAAGGGCAGCCUGGAAUCAAGCCAAGCAAUCGGCCAGCAAGUGCACCUGAGGGUACAAGACCAGGAAGCUGGACCCUGCAGUCAGUCACAGCCCUGCAGGAUUCACCUCCAUCCUGCAGGUAGCAGCCAGGCCUGGCAAUACCCAAUUCUUCAAAAAAUUUAAAGGAUUUUUUUCUUUUCUUCUUUUACUGAAAAAAAAGGCAAUUCCAGUGAUUUUUCUUAUCCUUACAUGCUGACAACAAGAGUUUUUAA